rnacentral:rRNA from 1 species
ACGGAGGGUGCAAGCGUUGUUCGGAAUCAUUGGGCGUAAAGCGCGUGUAGGCGGUUACCUAAGUCUGGGGUGAAAUCCCGGGGCUUAACCCCGGAAGUGCAUUGGAUACUGGGUAACUAGAGGACGGGAGAGGGGAGCGGAAUUCCUGGUGUAGGGGUGAAAUCCGGAGAUAUCAGGAGGACCACCGGUGGCGAAGGCGUCUUACUGGGCCGUGCCUGACAGUGAGGCGCGAAAGCGUGGGGAGCAAACAG